UCCCUGGUGGUCUAGUGGUUAGAAUUUGGUGCUUUCACCACCUCAACCUGGGGUUCAAUUCCUGGUCUGGGAA
rnacentral:tRNA from 1 species